UGAGCAACCUGCCCUCCACUUCGGGAUAAGCCUUGGAAACGGGGUCUAAUACCGGAUAUGAGCGCCUGCCGCAUGGUGGGUGUUGGAAAGUUUUUCGGUGGGGGAUGGGCUCGCGGCCUAUCAGCUUGUUGGUGGGGUGAUGGCCUACCAAGGCGUCGACGGGUAGCCGGCCUGAGAGGGCGACCGGCCACACUGGGACUGAGACACGGCCCAGACUCCUACGGGAGGCAGCAGUGGGGAAUAUUGCACAAUGGGCGCAAGCCUGAUGCAGCGACGCCGCGUGAGGGAUGACGGCCUUCGGGUUGUAAACCUCUUUCAGCAGGGAAGAAGCGUAAGUGACGGUACCUGCAGAAGAAGCGCCGGCUAACUACGUGCCAGCAGCCGCGGUAAUACGUAGGGCGCAAGCGUUGUCCGGAAUUAUUGGGCGUAAAGAGCUCGUAGGCGGUCUGUCGCGUCUGGUGUGAAAACCCGAGGCUCAACCUCGGGCUUGCAUCGGGUACGGGCAGACUAGAGUGCGGUAGGGGAGACUGGAAUUCCUGGUGUAGCGGUGGAAUGCGCAGAUAUCAGGAGGAACACCGAUGGCGAAGGCAGGUCUCUGGGCCGCAACUGACGCUGAGGAGCGAAAGCAUGGGGAGCGAACAGGAUUAGAUACCCUGGUAGUCCAUGCCGUAAACGUUGGGCACUAGGUGUGGGGCUCAUUCCACGAGUUCCGUGCCGCAGCUAACGCAUUAAGUGCCCCGCCUGGGGAGUACGGCCGCAAGGCUAAAACUCAAAGGAAUUGACGGGGGCCCGCACAAGCGGCGGAGCAUGCGGAUUAAUUCGAUGCAACGCGAAGAACCUUACCAAGGCUUGACAUGCACCGGUAACACUCANAGAUGGGUGCCCCGUAAGUCGUGCACAGGUGGUGCAUGGUNGUCGUCA
rnacentral:rRNA from 1 species